rnacentral:misc_RNA from 2 species
AACGCACCUUGCGCUCCUUGGUAUUCCGAGGAGCAUGCCUGUUUGAGUGUCAUUAAAUUCUCAACCUUAUCAGUUUAUUUCUGAUAGUGGCUUGGAUGUGGGGUUGCUGGCUUGGUCAGCUCCCCUUAAAUGCAUUAGCUGGUGCCCUGUGUACUUGGUGUGAUAAUUAUCUACGCCAUGGAUUAGCACUGCUUCUAACCGUCUGUUAAUUCGGACAAUAGAUGACAAUUUGACCUCAAAUCAGGUAGGACUACCCGCUGAACUUAA